UGGGGAAUUUUGGACAAUGGGGGCAACCUGAUCCAGCAAUGCCGCGUGUGUGAAGAAGGCCUUCGGGUUGUAAAGCACUUUUGUCCGGAAAGAAAACGCCGUGGUUAAUACCCGUGGCGGAUGACGGUACCGGAAGAAUAAGCACCGGCUAACUACGUGCCAGCAGCCGCGGUAAUACGUAGGGUGCAAGCGUUAAUCGGAAUUACUGGGCGUAAAGCGUGCGCAGGCGGUCCGCUAAGACAGAUGUGAAAUCCCCGGGCUUAACCUGGGAACUGCAUUUGUGACUGGCGGGCUAGAGUAUGGCAGAGGGGGUAGAAUUCCACGUGUAGCAGUGAAAUGCGUAGAGAUGUGGAGGAAUACCGAUGGCGAAGGCAGCCCCCUGGGCCAAUACUGACGCUCAUG
rnacentral:rRNA from 1 species